UAACUUCGGGAGAAGGGGUGCUCUUUAGGGUGCAAGCCCAGAAGAGCCGCAGUGAAUAGGCCCAAGCGACUGUUUAUCAAAAACACAGGUCUCUGCUAAACCGUAAGGUGAUGUAUAGGGGCUGACGCCUGCCCGGUGCUGGAAGGUUAAGAGGAGUGGUUAGCUUCUGCGAAGCUACGAAUCGAAGCCCCAGUAAACGGCGGCCGUAACUAUAACGGUCCUAAGGUAGCGAAAUUCCUUGUCGGGUAAGUUCCGACCCGCACGAAAGGCGUAACGAUUUGGGCACUGUCUCAACGAGAGACUCGGUGAAAUCAUAGUACCUGUGAAGAUGCAGGUUACCCGCGACAGGACGGAAAGACCCCGUGGAGCUUUACUGUAGCCUGAUAUUGAAAUUCGGCACAGCUUGUACAGGAUAGGUAGGAGCCUUUGAAACGUGAGCGCUAGCUUACGUGGAGGCGUUGGUGGGAUACUACCCUAGCUGUGUUGGCUUUCUAACCCGCACCACUUAUCGUGGUGGGAGACAGUGUCAGGCGGGCAGUUUGACUGGGGCGGUCGCCUCCUAAAAGGUAACGGAGGCGCUCAAAGGUUCCCUCAGAAUGGUUGGAAAUCAUUCAUAGAGUGUAAAGGCAUAAGGGAGCUUGACUGCGAGACCUACAAGUCGAGCAGGGUCGAAAGACGGACUUAGUGAUCCGGUGGUUCCGCAUGGAAGGGCCAUCGCUCAACGGAUAAAAGCUACCCCGGGGAUAACAGGCUUAUCUCCCCCAAGAGUUCACAUCGACGGGGAGGUUUGGCACCUCGAUGUCGGCUCAUCGCAUCCUGGGGCUGUAGUCGGU
rnacentral:rRNA from 1 species